rnacentral:lncRNA from 1 species
GUGAGCCGUGCCGCGGUGGCUGUAAAAGUCCGCCGUCUCCACAGCAGAAGUGGCCGUGGGCCGGCGCCGCGGCUCACUAGGCUAAUCCUCCACCUAGCGGCGCCGGCACACCGGGUUCUAGUCCCGGUCGGGGCGCCGGAUUCUGUCCCGGUUGCCCCUCUUCCAGGCCAGCUCUCUGCUGUGGCCCGGGAGUGCAGUGGAGGAUGGCCCAAGUGCUUGGGCCCUGCACCCCAUGGGAGACCAGGAGAAGCACCUGGCUCCUGCUAUCGGAUCAGCGCGGUGCGCUGGCUGCAGCGCGCCAGCCGCGGCGGCCAUUGGAGGGUGAACCAACGGCAAAGGAGGACUUUUCUCUCUGUCUCUCUCUCUCACUGUCCACUCUGCCUGUCAAAAAAAAAAAAAAAAAGUGGCCGUGAACCUUCCACUGUGGAGACGGGGGCAGAGGCAAGCCAGCACGUGGGGCGCCACGUUACAGAGGGUGCUGGAGCCUGGGGUCCCCUGUCCCCCAAGGCUGCCCCUGCUCGCAGCCUGCCCUGUGCCGUCAGAGCACAGCCCGGAUUUGACUUAGUGAGCAGAUGGUGUGCUGGGAUCCCGCGUUCGCAAGCACCUGUGUUCCGGCAGGCUCUGGCCUGGGUGCUGCAGACACAGCACAGGCUCAGGGACUGUGCCAGCCUUCCACCCUUCCAGUCAGGCGACAGUGACAGGCGCUGGCCCGUGGCGGCUCCUGGGCUCCCUCGGGGACUGUGGAGGCGUGGUGCUGCCGCCUGGGGCUGGCCAUGCGCAGGAGAGACCCGGCCCGGCCAGGGAGUGCAGGGGCUGUGCCUCACUGUGGCGCCUUGCAACACUGGCGCUCUCUGCCCCGUGCUGCCUCGCGGCCUCUCCUGCCGCACCGGGCGCUCAGGCCGGGGAGGGCAGAGGGGCACCGCGCGUGGUCCCCGGACGAGGUGGACGUUGGCGGUGGUGUUUCCCCAGCUCUGGCAGAGGCUGCGACGGUAUUUCUGGCUUUGUUGCUAUGUCAACCCCUGGGCUGGAGGCAGUCGGUCCUCAGCUGUCCCCUCCCUGCGUGGGGGCUGUGGGCAGUGGCGCAGAUGGGCACCACGCCUGUGGGUAACGUCUGCUGCACUCGGAGGGCUGAGGACCGAGAUCCGGGCCGGGGCCUGA